rnacentral:tRNA from 1 species
GGGGCCGUAGCUCAGUUGGGAGAGCGUCGGCAUGGCAUGCCGAAGGCCACGGGUUCGAGCCCCGUCGGCUCCA